UUAUUUAUAGACUUGAAGUUGCUUAAGUGUUCACACAAAUUGCUUGAUGAUUUUAUUGUUUAGAGAGACUGAUAUUUGUUCUUUAACAAUGUGGUAAAAAGUAUAAGUAAAGAUUCCUUGAUUAAUUUAGGGUUAUUUUUAUUUUCGAUUGAGAUGUAUUUUUAUGUUUUGAUUGAUAAAUGGGAAUAAUUUUUAGUUUAUUUAAUUAACGAGUCUUGGUAAUUUUUGAAAACCGGUGUUGAGAUAUAGUUUUGAUUGGUUUUAGUUAAUAGAUUUUAGAUUUAUUGAUAUAAGACUUUUUGGGGUUAUAUGAU
rnacentral:misc_RNA from 1 species